CCCCUUUCAUUUUAGAUCAUUUCCCAUGAUCAGAGAGAGAGCCCAGGAGGGUGCCGUGGAUGUUCUCAGGUGUUCUAUGCACUAGCAGGGUUCUGGUCAGAUGCAUGUGGCUGAGUUAAGAUGCAAGCAGUUUGAAUCAUUUCAGGACCCCUCAGCACCUUGAAAAGCCUGCUGCAGCCCUUGAAGAGGCUCACCCAUCCUGUGUGAUAAGUGAUCUGAAGGAAGGGAAGCCAUCUCCCC
rnacentral:lncRNA from 1 species